CCUACGGGUGGCAGCAGUAGGGAAUUUUGCGCAAUGGGCGAAAGCCUGACGCAGCAACGCCGCGUGAUCGAGACGCCAUUCGGGGUGUAAAGAUCUGUCAGGGGGGAUGAAACUUGACGGUACCCACAGAGGAAGCACCGGCUAACUACGUGCCAGCAGCCGCGGUAAUACGGGGGGUGCAAGCGUUGUCCGGAUUCAUUGGGCGUAAAGAGAUCGUAGGCGGCACAUAAAGUCUGGUGUUAAAGGCCGAGGCUCAACUUCUGAACGGCACUGGAUACUUGCGAGCUGGAAUGCGGUAGAGGUAAAGGGAAUUCCUGGUGUAGCGGUGAAAUGCGUAGAUAUCAGGAGGAACAUCAGUGGCGUAAGCGCUUUACUGGACCGUAAUUGACGCUGAGGAACGAAAGCCAGGGUAGCAAAUGGGAUUAGAUACCCUGGUAGUC
rnacentral:rRNA from 1 species